GACGAACGCUGGCGGCGUGCUUAACACAUGCAAGUCGAACGAAGUGGCGAACGGGUGAGUAACGCGUAAUCAACCUCCCCUUCAGAGGGGGCCAACAGUUGGAAACGACUGCUAAUCCCGCAUACUGAUGGGGGAGAGUGCGUCGGCUUGGCUAGGUGGAGGGGUAACGGCCCACCAAGGCGAUGAUCAGUAGGCGGUCUGAGAGGAUGAACGGCCACAGUGGGACGGAGACAAGGCACAGACUCCUACGGGAGGCAGCAGUGGGGAAUCUUACGCAAUGGAGGAAAGUCUGACGGAGCAACGGCGCGUGAGUGAUGACGGCCUUCGGGUUGUAAAGCUACGUUAAGCGGGACGCGGUACCGGAAUAGAAAGCAACGGCUAACUACGUGCCAGCAGCCGCGGUAAUUC
rnacentral:rRNA from 1 species